CGGACGGGUGAGUAACACGUGGAUAACCUACCUAUAAGACUGGGAUAACUUCGGGAAACCGGAGCUAAUACCGGAUAAUAUUUUGAACCGCAUGGUUCAAAAGUGAAAGACGGUCUUGCUGUCACUUAUAGAUGGAUCCGCGCUGCAUUAGCUAGUUGGUAAGGUAACGGCUUACCAAGGCAACGAUGCAUAGCCGACCUGAGAGGGUGAUCGGCCACACUGGAACUGAGACACGGUCCAGACUCCUACGGGAGGCAGCAGUU
rnacentral:rRNA from 1 species